ACCAAGUCAAAAUGUCAUAACCACUGGUGUGGAAACCAUCAUUACGUUCACAAGACUGACUGUAUAGCAAAAUGGAAGUUAUAGAUCAAGGAGAUCGUUCCUGUUUGAGUACCUAUUUUAAUACACAAAAGCAUACAGAGACGUGCAUGUAGAGCCCCAUUUUUUAGUAUUGUAGAAAAGGGUUGAGGCAGAGUUGAAUGUGGAGUAUUGACACGCCAAAAAGUUUACACGGGUGUUGGGAGAGAUGGCACAGAGAGCUAAUAAGGCAUUUCUUGGUGACUUGUAUGCAUCCAUUUUGUAUUUAUUUUUUAGUAUUCCUCAGUUCAUUCCAUGAAGUGUUUGAAGCAGUUUCUUGGAAAUUGUGAUCAUUUCUUUCUGGCAGCUUAUUGUGGCUGAAAUGGACAGCAGAUAUCAGUACCACAUCACAUCCUUAGGAAUUCUCCUGCUCAGGCAGCCACAAAGAAGUAGUGAUUACAAUAUAAUGAUAACAGACAGGCUAGUAAAGCAUUUUCAAUGAAUGUGUGAGUGAAAUGAUAUUAAGGUGUACAGUUUUGCCACCACUGUCAGCUAUGGUACAUUUACAACAUAUUCAUUCCUAGAAUAUGUUAAAGCCCUGAAUGUAAAGAUUCUAUUCCCUCUCCUUUGUAUUGUGUCACCUAAAAUUAUCUCAUAGAGGCAUAAGAAGCAUUAUUUUGAGAAACGAUGUCCUGUUGACUGAUCAUUGGGUGGUGAAAUUUGCUUAGGCAAUUGAACACUUUAUUGUAGUGUGAUGUUUAAAAAAAGAAAAAACCUCAUAGGCAAAAUGUUUAACUAUCUUCCUAAUGGCAGUAGGAGAAUGGGUGUCAUCAUGUGUUCACCUUAUUGCAGGCAAGGCUGGAGUUUUUCUGUUCUUUCUGGCCUGUAUCUUAACAAAGGCAGGGCCAUGAAGGGGAUAUGGGCUGAAGACCACUAGUACUGACCUGACAUUCUUCCAGCCCAGUCCUCUGCUGCUGCUCUCAUAGAUGUUUGUGAGGGAAUGGGAAGGUGGGAGUGGGGAGGGGGACUGGCAGACAGUUGACUCUCCUGCCAUCUUUAACCUUGUCAAAGGUUAAAGUACCCGCAUUGCAGGUAGUUCCAAUAUCAUCAGGUUGAUAUCUGUUUUAUUGCUACACCAUCUCUCUAAAUUUAUCAUAUUAUUUGUAAACGAAUUAGUUAUUGAGGGGAACUAACUUUCAUCUCUCUGUAACAAUGUAAUGCUCAUCGACUUGAAAAUGACUAUGUACAUUUGCUAUAUGGUGGUAGAGGUAGUUUUAUAUGUUUGUUCUGUGGUCUCUUAAAACACGACUUAAACCUACACAGAUAUUCUUUGAAAAUUGUUCAGCAUUCAUUGAGAGAGAUUGACGCUGAAUUAAAGAUUGGGAACUCUACUUCUCACCUCAUAAUAUAUUGGUCUGGCAUUAGGUUCAUUUAUAAAAUCAGGAUUGGAUUGUAGGUAUACUUUCUGUUCCUCUUGGUUCCAUUUCCUAGAAAUAUGUGGAUGGACAUAUUCUACUAACCAGGUAAAUAGAUUCCUAAAAUGAUUCUUAUAAAUAUCUUUAAAUAUAUUUUGAAAUACAUUUUUAAGACCUAGAGUUGCCACUGUUUCAGAUUCAGAUGGUGUGCUAAUAUCAGAAAUUUUUUUUUUUUUUUUAUCAUGCGUGAUAUUUUGACAAGCAGAUGCUAACCCCAGUCACAUGGAAGAAACUGAGAUGAAAAGCAGGCAUUUGCAUUUUAGCAACAAGAGAAGCAAAUCUUAUCAGGGACCUUCUCCAAUGUGGAGCUGAUUCCUUGGAAUCUGUUAAGAAUUUCCCCUAAAAUCAGAAACAAACCUGUACUUUUAGGUACAUGUUUGUACAGUGGUCUGAUUAUUAAAUCUUGUCUUAAUUAGGCAAAAUGAAGACCAGAAAACUUCAAAGUACGGAGCUGGUCUUUAUAUGUUAACCCCUCUCAGCUUGGGUGUUUAGAUUACUCAAGUAGGUCUCCAGUUGGCUUUUCUUUAAGUAUGGAUUCCAUAUGUUUAAUCAAGAUGGCAUAUGUGCAUUGGGCAUUCUCCAAAUUUUGAAAAUAUUUCACCUGCCCUCAAUUGUCUGAGAGAACAGAGAAAAUCUUAUUAAAGAAAAUAUUGAACCUCUUUCCUAUUCUGAAGUAUUUACAAUAGAAACAUCAAAAAGUGAAUUGCUACUGUUCAGCCUUCUCCAUGGGGUGAUGAAGACUAUUAUUUCACAUUGGGUUAGGGUCAUGACCUAGAUGCCCAAAGCUAACAAUUUUCUGUAUUAUACAGUGAAGCCUGUGAGAGCCGGAGUUCGAUUGGACAGCCUUGUUUUUCUGGAUCUCACAACUUUUCCACCUUUGACAGGGUGCAGUCUUACCCCUUUGCUAUUGCUCGUUUUAGUGGAAAGUAUUCGAAUUUUCCUUCUCUGACAGGUUCCCACCUUACAUAGGUUCCAGCUUGUACAGGUUUUACUGUAAUACAUUUGUGUGUACUCUCUUUAACCAUUAAAUACCCAUUGAGAAAUAACUACAGAAACUGUAAUUUUGGUCAUUUUCCCCAGUUUAAGUGGAUGAACCUUAUUGAAGUCAUUCAAGUUGGAGCAAAUAAGCAGCAUCAUAAAAGUAUGGUCCUUAUUCUUGAGAUAUUUAUUAUAGCAGGAAACAUAGGCACACAUGAAGACAUAGGUAUGCAAAUGACAUUUAAAAUGUCUUUUUACAUCUCAACUUUUUUAUGGUUCUUUUUUGAGGAGUUUAGAGAAGCAAAAAAUGGAGUGGGAGGAAAAAAAAAAGAUUUAUCUCUACAUCCAACCAAAUAUGAUUGACCUUCCUGGUAUGAGAUUUGUAAUGGUAUGUUUGAGUUGCUAAUAAUCUUUAGAAAAAUUAGUCGCAAACCUAUACUUUUAGAAGCAUGGUUUAUCCAAUGAUUAACUUAUUAAAAUUUGAGAACUUCCUUAUAUUUUACUAUUAUUUUAACACGUUUAUGAAAGCAAUCAUUCAUACCUGUUAUAACUACACAAUGUAAAUAUUACUUCUCAUACUGUAUAAUUUUCCUACCUGUUGCCUGACACUUUAAUGACAGUUUUAUGGAAAAUUUGUGUAUAUUAGGAAUUAUUUGCCUCAUAUAGUAUAGGCUUUCAAGACCUUAACAAAAAUAUUUAUCCCCUGAAAUGAGUUUACCUGGUAUUUGUAUUGUUAUACCUGCCAGUAAACAAAGGCUAAAGAUAGAAAGGCCAGUGGUGAGCUGGAGAGGAAGUCCUGUCAGAAUGAUGUAUUUCUCUGCUCAUCAGUUUGAAUAUGCUGUUGCCACCAAAGUGUUUCGAGCAGUUUAACUGUAAGAAAAUCAUGGCUUAAAACAUUUGUCUUUUGGUUUUUGAGACAUUUUAAAAGUUCAGAAAUUUAUUACACAGUUUCUAUUGCUAAUAUGCAGUAAGUCCAUGUGAUGAUAACUUAGAUUUUUGUGAGCCUUCAAAAAUCAAGUUUCCUUACACUGACAUCAAAAGAAGACUGUUACUUUUGCCAGUAUACUUUGUUUUUCUUAUUAGAAGAAAAAAAAAAUUCUAAUGUAAAAGUUUCCCCAUAAAUACAAAAUAGCAAAGAAAAAAAAAAUAUGAGGGUAUUGGUAAUGGUAAGUUUCUCUGGAGCCCAUUUCAAGUUUAAAUAUUGCCACUUUUUUUUUUUAAUUCUUUUCGAAACAGAAAUAUAGUUGAUGAAAACAAAACACACCACAGUACCUUGGAGAUUUGAUGGUUUUGAAGGAGUAUUCUUACCACUGCCUAAUUAAGUUAAUAAAAGGGAAGUCUCCAGUCACAUUACUAACUGAAUGGUGCGCGGAAGUCUUCCAAAGUAUCCCCAGGCAUUUUUGUUAUGAGAUAAUUUGACAUAACCCCCCCAUAACGUUAUUCUUUGAAUUAUUUCUCUGCAAUAGUAUUAAUAUAAUAGCGUUAAUUCAGAGCUAAUGGUUUCUGUGUUAACUAAAAUUUUAAUACCGAAUCUAACACCUUUGUUUAUCAUAUUUAUUCUGUCAAAUCCAUAUGAGCAUAAAUUCUAGAAAAUUCUCUUUUUCUUUCAUGCUUAUUUGACUAAAAUACUAACCGAUUCAUGUACCCAUUGAGCAAGUAAUUAUUGAAUUCUUACAUUGAGCCAGAUACUGUUUUUGGCACUAAGAAAACUAUAUUCAGUGUCCUCAUGGGGCUUACGUUAUUGGUGGUAGGGAGGGAAACAUUAAACAGUAAUACAGUGCGUUGUAUAUUAGGAUAGCAGACUUGAAGGAAAUUGAUUUCUUUGAGGAAAUAAGACUACGUCUCUAUGGGUCUUAGGCUAGGUUCUCUAGGGGACCAAAGCUACUGAAAUAUGUAGAGAGAGAGAGAGAGAGAGGUCUAAUUGAAGGAAAUAGUUCACGCAGUUGUAGAGGCUGGAAAGUCCCAAAUCCGUGGGUCAGGUGUCAGGCUGAAGGCUUCUCCUGAAUCACGUCCUUGCAGGGGUUGAAGACAUUGGCAGGUCAGACAUCAGGUUGCUGCCUCAUGGGGCUGCCAGAGCUGGUGAAUCCCAAAAUCUUCAGGCUGCAGGCUCACGUUCCAAGAACCAAAGGUUGAAUUGGAUGCAGGAUUCAGAGUGAGAGUGAGCCUUGCUGGAACAUCUAUUAAUUACUGGAGGCAGGCCACACCACCAAGAAAAUACCUCUUUGAACUGAUUGGCUGCUCAUAGCAGAUCUCAUCAUGGAGGUGAUUACAUUAUAUCAGAUCUCAUCAUGGAAGUGAUUACAUUAUAUUACAUUAUGGAAGAGUAAUCAGUCCAGUGCCUGUCAAACCACUGAGAAUCAUAGCUUAGCUAAGUAGUAUAUAACAUUAACCAUCAUACUGUGUUAUCUUGUCUUGUUUCUAUUUCUUUCUCUCUCUUUUUCUAUUUCUUUCUCUUUCUUUCCUUCUUUCUUAUAUGCUGUGUGAUGAAUGCCUUGUGCAUUCCUGUGACUGGAUAUCAGCCAGCACUUUAAAAGAAAACCCACAUAAAUCAUGAGAUGAUAUCUUACAUGUGUCAAGGUACAGUCUAGAUAUAAGUAUUUAUUAUAUAUUUAUUACUAUGAUACUUAGGCAUUUUGACAUGAGUGCUAUUUUAUCAUAAUAAAAAUAUAUCUAAGACAAGACCAGUAAAGGGGAGGCCUAGCAGAUGUCCUGUGUUGCCCUUAUUAAAACAGGUAGAUAUUAUAUUCUGACAAGCUAGGCAUGAAUAUAAUUAUGCUCAAAUGUUGCAUCAGAGCAAAUGGGGAGAUUUCAUGAUUUUUUGGAAGAGAACGUGACCCUUUAUUUGAGUAAUAUCUGUUGUAUUCUGUUUCUUGACAUAAUUUUCUAACAUAAAUAUUACAUGCUCUCCACAACCUCUCAUGAUUCAUACCACUCCCUAUCUCCAACCACUCAUCCACAGCAACCCAGAGAGUAUAUUCUUUGUUUGAGCUCACGUAAAACAUAACAUGCAUAGAUAUGCGUAUGUGUGUGUGUGUGUGUGUGUGUGUGUGUACCUGAAGGUAGGUCUAAUAAUACAGAAUUCCAAAACUAUUUUGUGUACUAUUGAUAAAAGUGUAAAUUUUCCCAAGGAGAUUAAUUUGAAGAACAACAGUUAUAUAGAUACAUAUAUUCAAAAAACUUACGCAGUUUGAUUUCACACCUCAUAUGCUCAAGUAAGCAAAUACUUCAUAUUAGCUUUCUUCUAAUAAGUGUAAUUCAUUCUAUCCAUGUCUUGUUUGUUGGCAGAUUAAAAAUUUAAGUAUAUGGGGACCAUGUACUAUUAACUGCUUUUUUUUUCCUGCACCUAUUUCUCCUAGUAUCUCUCGUUCUCCCCUACUUUUAUUCACUGUGCAUGUUGUCAGCACCUUCUCAAACAUCAUUUAAAUAAUAUCAACUCCAUUUUACCUAUGGAAUCUACAAUGAGCUGGGCACCAUACCAGCAUUCUUAUGCAUAUUAUUCCUCAACAUGAUGAACUUUUUUUUUUUUUUUUAAAUAUCAGGGAAGUUCAUUUCAAAGUGCUUAGGCAGGUGGACCAAGGUGACAGCAGUUAACAGAGCUGGAAUUCCAGCAUUGAUUGUAUGCCUCAAAAGUCUGUCCUUAACUACUCUUGCUUGUCUCACUGUUGUUUUUAGCAGCAAGUAGGAGGUAAGCUCUCCCUAAUUUUACUUUUGCCAAAAAGUAGAAAAUUCACAAUUGAAAUCAAAGCAGAAAAUAAAUUAAGACUAGGAAGGUCAUCUUAUUGAUUUGAAUUUUCCAGAAUGAAGAAGUCUCUUUCCCCAGACCCGCUUCACAACUUCCCCUGCAUCGCCCUCCAUCCAGUUACUUACUCUGUACUUGAAGCUGAGGGCAGGGCAUUCAGCUCUCCCUUUGGAUUACGAAGCUUUCCAAAGCAGUGCAGAGUCAACUACAGCCAGGCCCCAUUUUGUUCCUUUCUCUCAUGUUGUUAUGUUGCUAUUCUUUAGGUUGGACAAACAUCUUCUCACAGGAGUUCCAAGCAUAAAGCUGGACGUCUACUGACUUCAUUAAGAUCAGCUAAAAUGCAGAUGUUGGCAUCUCAUCUUUGGGUGGUUGGAAAAUGCCUUUUUUGGGGGGUUUUGAAAAAUGGAUGAGUAGAAACUUGAACUAGACUUUCACUUAGGAAAGCAGGCAUUACUGUUGUCAGGUUUAAUUUCUUUGUGUUCAUUUGACAGCUUGUUUCCAGGCAGAGUCUUUUAAUCACCAAUUUAGAAUUACAUUUUGCCCAUUAGAUGGAUACUACAUCAAAAACUUUAGCAAGCAUUGAAAGGCAGUCUUAAUUUUAUAACAGUAAAAAGCUUUCUAGAUUAUUUAUCUAUCUAUAAAGGUUUAUAAAAGAAACUUUGACUUUACCCUUAAAUAGAUGCUAUUUUGACAUGAUUAGCCCAAUGUAAACAGAUCCUUGUAGGUAUGUAUUGGGCUUCAAAAAAAAAAAGAAAGAAAGAAACCACUUAUGCUGCAAUACCAAUUUACAUCAUCACAGAGAAUUCAUAUAGAAGCAUUUCACCAUGUAAUUACAAGUUGAUGGUUUAUAAUAUACAGAAAAUGGCUUGUUGCUUUAUUAUUAUAUAUUUAUUAUUAGAUGUGAUGAAAUGCUGUGUUUGGAAAAGAAACUAAAUGACCAUUUCAGUGGAUUAAUGUGUAACAUUCACAAACAUUCCCAGUGCUGCUUUCAUAACUUGAAGACCAAGGGAAAGGACCUCGACCUUGCCUUUUCACUCUGCACUGUUAAUCUAGUCAGAGACGCUUUUAUUGAAUGAGAAAAACAAUAGUUGGACAUGACCAUGAGGAUUAAAUGAGAGAAUGCAUCACGAAGUACUUUGUAAACAUGAUUAUCAUGAAGAAGACCUCGUUUUCUCUUUGGAACAAUAUUAAACUUGCACUGCUCUUCAAUUUACCAAAGCAAAUGAUUGAUCGAUGGAGAAAGAAGGGAGAGGUUUACAAGUUAAGCGGCUGGAAGUUCAUCGACUUUGAACUACUGUCCAUUCUGAGACCCACUCCCAAACCACCAAGGUUUUUCAAAGAAAAUAAGGAUGUCUUACUGUGCCUCUAUUCUCUAAUCUUAAGGAGAGGAGGAAAACUUUGAAAUAAAGUGUACUGCCAGCUGAAGAGCUGAAAGAUACUUAUAGGAAAAAAAUACUGUUAUGUAUAAAAAGAAAAAUAAAAUUCAUAGUGCUGUAAAAGAAGGAAAAGUGACUCAUUUGUGUUCUGUUCAAAAAAAAGCCUCUGAUAGCUUUUGUUACAUUUUAUUGCUGAGGAAUCGCUGUUCUGAAAGGUCAAUCUCCCUGCUUCCACUUUUGCCCCCCUAAAAUUUAAUCAUUUACAAAUAUAAACCAAACUGUGUCAUGUUACUGUUGUUGGUAGCUGCCUCCCAGUUGUCUUGGACUCAUGCAACCUUAGGUAUAAUAGAAAGCAGCAUUGCCCAGUUCUGUGCCAUCUCCAUGAUCUUUGAUAUGUUUGAUCCCAUUUGCUAAGGCUAUUAAUCAUGUCAUAAGCUUGCUUAAAACUCCCCAGUUGCUCCUUGUUGUUUGCAGGAUAAAAUCCAAGCAUCUCUACAUAGCCUACAAAACUGUCGUGAUCUGGCCCUUGCCCUCUCACUGACUUCAUCUCCUACUCCUUUCUUUCACUCGCUGAGCUCCAGCCACACUGGCCUCCUCCCAGGUCUUUGGGGAAUCUCAUUCCGCCUGCAGGAGUUGUGCCACGUUCAGUUCUGCAUGAAAUGCUUUGCUCCCAGGUCUUCUCAUGAUUGAAUCUUGUUGUUGGGGUCUCCGUCAGCCCAGAUGUCACCUCUUCAGAGGUGUCUUCUCUGCCCAUCCAAACUAGAGUAGACACAAACUCCCACUUCCUGCCCCUUUUAUUCUCUACCACAUGAAGCUUCGCUCUUCAGGUGUUUAUUUUUAAGAUCCCACUGAGAGAUGGGAUCUUGCCUAACUGACCAUUAUCUACCCAGGGCCUGGCAUAUGGUGAGUGCUCAAUAAAAAUUUGUUGAAGGAAUGAAAGAGUGGGUGAGCAACUUCCUUGUCAGCUGGAAGGAGGAAUUUUUCAGUCUACGUUCCAGAAGGGAAUAAUUAUUUAUGUUGUGGAAAUAUUAGGAAGUAUUGCAAGCCAGCAAAAUGAUACUUUAAUUGCAGGCAUUGUUUUGGACAAUUGUUUAUAGUUAAAAAGGUAAACAAGUAUUGAUUAAGAAUUCACAUGGUCCCUAGCCUAGUUUUAUACCUUUUUAAUAUUGGUAAAAAAGUGAUAUUUUCCAGGUUAGACUUUUAAUUUAUGUGAAAAAUAAACCAGUAUUUACAAAAUCUUUGUUCUCUUAUUAUUCAAUUUUGGUUCUUCUGAUUAUUUCCCUAAAAUUCACAGAAGUGAAAUGACAUGCAAUAUUUUGACUUGAGGCUGGAGUUCUUCUCUAAGUAGACCUCUCAAUUUGAAAGCCCUCCAAACUCUGCAUGUUGUUUUUGAGAACAGUUGGUACAUACCUAAUCUGUUUCUGAAUUGAUAAAAAAUUUUAAUCAUUAUUUUAAAAUCUAGUUUCCUUGGAGCUUAAGGAAAGGGUAUAUUUUCAAAAGAAGAAUUUUACGUUUAUAUGAAAAAAAUAUUUUUGUGUGUGAUUCUUCAAGUAAAAUCUGUCUUAAAAUCUGAGGCAAAAUAAAAAAUGAUGAGUUUAAAGUCAUUUUGCAUAGUUCCAUAAUCACGUAGAAACACUUGUACUUACGUGUUUGCUGACAAUUUCAGAAACGGAGAUGACUAUCAGAAAUGAAUUUACUCCUUACAUGUUUAUAAGGUUCUAUUCAUAGUCAACAUUCCAUAUCUGAACAUGAAGAAUUUCCACCAGAAAAAUUGAAAGUAUAGAAUUUAAGGGUAUUGUACUUAAAAGCACUCGUUCUUCUGUUGACUUGGAUCAAACAAUGUUAAGAUUGGCAGCAUCACUUUUAAAUAUUAUGUAAUGAGUGUUGUGUUAUGCGCUAAUAGACUAUCCGAUGUUUAACAUGGAAUGCAAAACACUGAUAUGAUGGACUUGCUGUAAUUAUGGCCCUAGCAGAGAUCAAUAAAAAUCAAAUAAUUUAGUUGAAAUAUUUGUUAGAAGUUUGGAUAAAUGAUCAUGCUCCCUCGCCCAUAGAUUAUCUGUGUGUAUUUGUAUGUGUGCGUUACCAACUCGGAAUGCUUGUAGACUGCCUGUAGCAUGCUUUGUGUUCGGCGCAUACGGUAGCAUAAAGCAUAAAGAGACACACUAACAGCUGAGUAAGAGCACAGAUAAAAGGAGACGCUGUGCAGUCAUUGUCUUCAUCUCAGCUGGGUUCCCCUCCAAAGUAACUCACCUGAUGUCAGCCAAAUGGCACACAGUGUGUUUUACAGAUGGGGCUUCAGCAGUGAUUCACACAGGCUGGCACGUUUAUCUGUCACACAGAUGUUUUGUCUUGU